GAGCGCCCGUAGCAAUACGGCAGCGGCAGACGGGAGAGUAACACGUGGGAACGCGCCUUUCGGUUCGGAAUAACUCAGGGAAACUUGAGCUAAUACCGGAUACGCCCUUACGGGGAAAGAUUUAUUGCCGAAGGAACGGCCCGCGUCGGAUUAGCUAGUUGGUGAGGUAAUGGCUCACCAAGGCGACGAUCCGUAGCUGGUCUGAGAGGAUGACCAGCCUCACUGGGACUGAGACACGGCCCAGACUCCUACGGGAGGCAGCAGUGGGGAAUAUUGGACAAUGGGCGCAAGCCUGAUCCAGCCAUGCCGCGUGGAUGAUGAAGGCCUUAGGGUUGUAAAGUCCUUUUAA
rnacentral:rRNA from 1 species